GAUGAACGCUGGCGGCGUGCUUAACACAUGCAAGUCGAACGAGAGAAGCAGACGGAAGUUUUCGGAUGGAAGACUGCGGAUCGAGUGGCGGACGGGUGAGUAACGCGUGGGCAACCUGCCUUGUACAGAGGGAUACCAUUUAGAAAUAAGUGCUAAUACCUCAUAUGCGUACAGUGUCGCAUGAUACGGUACGGAAAGCUCCGGCGGUACAAGAUGGGCCCGCGUUUGAUUAGUUUGUUGGUGGGGUAACGGCCUACCAAGACAGCGAUCAAUAGCCGACUUGAGAGAGUGACCGGCCACAUUGGGACUGAGACACGGCCCAAACUCCUACGGGAGGCAGCAGUGGGGAAUAUUGCACAAUGGGGGAAACCCUGAUGCAGCGACGCCGCGUGGAGGAGGAAGUAUUUCGGUAUGUAAACUCCUAUCAGCAGGGAAGAUAAUGACAGUACCUGACGAAGAAGCCCCGGCUAAAUACGUGCCAGCAGCCGCGGUAAUACGUAUGGGGCAAGCGUUAUCCGGAUUUACUGGGUGUAAAGGGUGCGCAGGUGGUUUGGCAAGUCACAUGUGAAAGCCCGGGGCUCAACCCCGGGACUGCAUGAGAAACUGUCAAGCUGGAGUACAGGAGGGGUAAGCGGAAUUCCUAGUGUAGCGGUGAAAUGCGUAGAUAUUAGGAGGAACACCGGUGGCGAAGGCGGCUUACUGGACUGUAACUGACACUGAGGCACGAAAGCGUGGGGAGCAAACAGGAUUAGAUACCCUGAUAGUCCACGCCGUAACGAUGAAUACUAGGUGUUGGCCAUUCAAAGAUGGUCAGUGCCGACGCAAACGCAUUAAGUAUUCCACCUGG
rnacentral:rRNA from 1 species